AUGGUCGUUCACAAGUCUUUGCAAAGGUUAAGACUUCACAUGGAUGCCGUCAACGAGAGAAACCAAAGAGAAGAAAACAAAAUUGCCAAUGAAAUAGGAGAAUGUUACCCCAUAAUGAGCAUCUCUAACGUUAAGGAGAUGACUGCAAUCAUAAAACUUCGAAAAUCAAAGAAAUGGAGAGGUUCUGUCAGCAUAAUUGCUGAGGUUACUGCAGAUGAACGGGAAAAGAUAAGGAAGCUUGCAAAAGCAAGCAACAUCGGAAUUAUUAAUGAUAAUGAAGCAAGCGGAUCAGGAAAAGGGGAAGGUGGAAGCAAGUCCGGAUCCGGUCAAGGUGAUGGAGGAAGUGAAAAUGGAUCGGAAGCCCCGCAAGGAGGAAAAGGAGGAGGAGGUGGAGGUGGAGGUACUAAAACCCGAUGCUAUGGGCUAUUUACUUGUUUUGGUUUCUAG
rnacentral:lncRNA from 1 species